rnacentral:rRNA from 1 species
GACGAACGCUGGCGGCGUGCCUAAUACAUGCAAGUAGAACGCUGAAGAGAGGAGCUUGCUCUUCUUGGAUGAGUUGCGAACGGGUGAGUAACGCGUAGGUAACCUGCCUGGUAGCGGGGGAUAACUAUUGGAAAUGAUAGCUAAUACCGCAUGAUAUUGAAUAUCGCAUGAUAAUUAAUUGAAAGAUGCAAUUGCAUCACUACCAGAUGGACCUGCGUUGUAUUAGCUAGUUGGUGAGGUAACGGCUCACCAAGGCGACGAUACAUAGCCGACCUGAGAGGGUGAUCGGCCACACUGGGACUGAGACACGGCCCAGACUCCUACGGGAGGCAGCAGUAGGGAAUCUUCGGCAAUGGGGGGAACCCUGACCGAGCAACGCCGCGUGAGUGAAGAAGGUUUUCGGAUCGUAAAGCUCUGUUGUAAGAGAAGAACGGGUGUGAGAGUGGAAAGUUCACACUGUGACGG